rnacentral:snRNA from 1 species
AGCUUUGCCCUGUGCCAGUAUUGUAGCCAGUGAGAUUUAUCUGAGCCACAAUUAUUGCUAAUUCAAAACUUAUUUAGAGCAUACUUUAGUAAGAAUUUAAAGAUGCAAUCCAAGCCCAGAUUU